AUUUAAACCUGUAAUGAACACAAUUCCCAGUCAAGUCUUAUUGGAUAGUCUUUAUUAGUCAAUACCAAAAACCAUAUCAUAAUCAUUCAUAGAACGCCUGCCUUGUAAAUAUUAAAGAAAGAGGAUAAAACUUUGUUUUCAAUCGUAUCUUUGCGCAUGCACAGAGUACAUAGGUGUACCCUUUCAUUGGUUUUGAUUUAUAUAUCAUUUCUUAAUAAAAUCGAUAGAAAUCAUUUGACUCUAAUCAAUAUUAAAAGUUACCUGAAAAAUUUGUUUUAAAGUUAUAUAUCUAUUUUAACAUAUUAACAUGUGAUAAGUAUGUUUAUAUAUAUAUUAGUGAAAUUGACAAAAAAUAUUUGUACCUCUCAUGAUUUUCAGUAAACGUAUAAAAACUAGAAGUUGCAGCGUUAUGAAUAGCAUUCUAAAGUGUGGACUAAAAGCGAAAACAGUAUGGAUGUUAAGCUUUUGCACAUGCCUUUCAUUAUUAUAUGUCGGAUUUUAUUUCGCCGAUAUCAAUGUUCAUCCGUCGUUUGCAGACUUCAGUUCACUUGCCAUGUUAACUAUUAAAAAUGAGACAUUUAGACAGAACCAAAGCUUGAUUGGUGCUACCAAUCAUAUCAUUACAGCUAAAUUAUUUGAAAAGAACACUGUUGGAAUUUUGAUACCUUCAACCACACGUAGAAUGAAAGCCCCUGCAUUUCAUAAGCUAAGCUUAAAUACUUUAUGCUUACCAUCCAUUUAUAAAACCAUCGAAAACAAAUAUGUAUACAAGAUUUAUAUCGGAACCGAUCGAGAUGACUAUUUGUAUUCAAUUAAGCAUAAAAUUGAAACUCUCUUUCAUAACGUGAGUGUUUAUAAGGUGUCAGGAAAAACGUUUGUAAAAACCGUAAAUGCUAUAGCUCGAAAGGCUUAUGAUGAAGGUAUGGAUUACUUAGUUCGUAUAAACGAUGACACUUCAUUUGAAACGAAAAACUGGACAUCAGCAGGUCUAACUGUGCUUCGAUCUUACAGUCCUCCAAAUGUCGGUGUUGUCGGUCCAACAUGCAAAGGUGGGAAAACCACAAUAUUGACUCAUGAUUUGGUUCAUCGUACGCAUUUAGAUAUAUUCGGAUUUUAUUACCCUCCAUACUUUGACAACUGGUGGGCUGAUGACUGGAUUACAAAUGUGUACAAAUCAGAGCGAUCAACCAAACUUGAAUCCUGGGUUGUGAAGCAUCAUCAAAAGUUUCAUGGAACAAGAUACAAUGUAGAUUAUAAGAAAAAACAUCAGUUGAAAGAUAUAGUGUUUGAAGGUCAAAGUCAACUAAGAAAAUACAUUUCUGUUUCCAGAUAAUAACUCAAGAAUGUUUGGGCCUAGGAUCUUGAAAGUUGAUUAGCAUUGGUCAUGACCAGCAAAUGACCUCUAUCGAAUAUGAGAUUAGUAGGUCAAAGGUAAAGGUAAGUAAUCCAGAACAUAUUUUUUUUUCCAGACGAUAACUUAAGAAAGCUUAAGCUUAGAAUCACAAUAAGACAGUUAAUUCUUACCGGAAAAUGACUCCUGCUGAUUUUGCGAUUAGUUGGUCAAAGGUUAGGGUCACAGUGACCCGGAACAGUUGAGCCAUUUCAAGAUGAUGACUUUGAAACGCUUUGGCCUAUGAUCACAAAACUUACAGAAAAGUUGAUCAUGACCAGCAAGUGACACUAUUGAUGUUGAGGUCAGUAGGUAAAGGUCAAAGUCACAUUAAUCCAUGACAGUUAAACGGAUUCCCGGCGGUAACUCAAGAACACUUUGGCCUAGAAUCACGAACCUUGAUAGGGUGGUCAAUCAUGACCAGCAGAAAACACCUGUUAAUUUGAGAUCAGUUCGUCAAACGUCCAUUGCACAGUGACCAAGUAAUUUCUGUUCCUUGUGCAAACACUGAAUGCAUCAGGGGAUGGUGCCUUUUGGUGUUGUACGAUACGAGCACUUGUUCCAUAGUAAAGUAUGUCUUUCUGUCCGUCUCUUUACUUGUCAAUGUCCUAACACAUUUAUCACAAUCUUGCCUUUCGAACCGUUAUUUGAGAUUUGUUUAAAUUUUCUAAAAUAUUAUUCCAAUUGACAGUACAGAAAUAUAUACAGGAUUUUCCUCACGGUCAAGAACAGGUUCAAAUCUUCAGAUCAAGGCCACAUGUGAAUAAAGGCCAAUAAAUCAUAUAAACAUAAACAUUAGUAAUAAGCUUGUCGUGUUAAAAAGCAUUAAGAUAUUCCCUUAAUGUAAGCUUAUCAUUUUCAGGACAUGAUUUUAAUAAGAUUUAUCCUUUAGAUGAAACAAAAUUCAAGUACAUCAGGAUUAAAGGCAAAACUAAGUUUGUAGUAUCUGCAAACGCACUGUCUAAAUUAUCUUGUAAUAAAACAAGAUAUCAAAACCUUUCUCUAUCAAUCUGCAUGCGUACAAGGUUAUUGCGUAAUUUUGUUUGAAAUAUGAUUUUAUUGUUGCCUAGAUUCGUCGUUGGCCCAUUUUGUUGUUUCCACGUCAAAGGUUACGUCCCCAACUUUAGAAAAAAGGUUACAUUAGAUACUUUUGUAUAACAUAAUUUCUAUAUCAACUAUUUUAAUAUUCUAUAAAGUUUGUAGAUGAACAAAGCUUUACUAUUUCGUUUUGUCAAAAGAAUGAAGACCAAUGUCAUCUGAGAAAAAUUGCAUUUUGACAUUCUUAUUCCUUUUCACAAGUAUUUAAACAAUUAUUUUAUAUAAAGAAUACGGUAUCCUUUGUUCAGUGCUCAUGGUAUAACUUUAUUUUGAUUUAUUGUUGUUUUAUCUGAGAAAUUCUACAUGGGGUACUACAAAAUGUAUCAACAAAAUAGCUAGAAGCGAGGUAAUUUUUUAACCGGUUUGGCAGAGGACUACUUCAUUACUACGGGCUCAUUUCCAUGGAAUGAUAUAGCGGAAAAGUUGCAAGAUGUCCAGAAGACGGCCGCUCGCGUCAUCACUAAGAAGCCCCGUCGUAAUCAUAUAACACCGGUCCUGAAGGAGCUCCAUUGGUUGUCAGUGAAAUAUAGGGUACAGUACAAGGUUCUGACCCACACCUUUGAGGCUUUACACAAUCAGUCCCCUGCUUAUAUUACGGAUAUGAUAGAAGUGUAUAAACCGGUCAGAAACCUAAGAUCACAAGAAAAUCCAAACAUACUGUGAUUGAUAGUACACAAACUUGUCUUGCUGUGCACCAGACGAGAAAAGCUGGCAGUCCUCAAGGUCAUAAAAAUACAGACUAAAAUCAACAUUUACAGGUGAAGAAAUACAAACGUAUUAAAUAUAACGUUGGCGUAACAGAAUGUAUUGAGAAAUAUACAGCCAAAGAAAAUUGCAUUGUCGUUGCAAAAUCCAGAGGUGUUCCAACAUCAUGCCUGGCAUGAAAAUAGGCGAGAUGUAACAUCGAAGCUCUGCUGGCACGCGAUGAAACUAUUUGGCCCUCUUCCACCUGCAGGGAACUAGAUUAAUUACCAGCGGACAACGACUGAUCAGGAGGAUGACAAAUCUACGAACCCCAUCUGCAGGUACAUCAAUAGUGCUUACGAGUACAAGUGAACCUAUAAGUAGUAGUCCUGAAGAGCAAAAGUGAACCUACAACUUCCUCCGCAGCUACAUUACUAGUUAAUAAAACAACCGAAGAACCAACAACUCCCUCUAUUGAUAAUCUUGAGUCUUCCACUUACACUCAAGCUAAGGACACUGAUUUGUCGACAGGUAUUGGGAGUAUUUUUGCACCUCUACCAAUAUUGAAAAGUAGUACUGCUAAAUUAUUACUAAGUUAGAAGCAGCAAUUAGGUUUUAAUGGAAAAUAGUCAUAUCAUCUUCUAUCAGUUCGGUAUGAACAUGCAUAAUGGUACGAUUAUUGCAUAAGAAAUAUUAUUGAUCUAAUGUUAUAAAACAUUAUUGCUAAAGAGGGUAGAAUUGACUAUCAGCUGUGGGAAAGGCAUCUUUAACCUUUAGCAUGCUGUAGAUGACAUUCUUAACCUUUUUGAUCAGUACCGGUAAACAGCUUAGAUGAGAUAUGUCUGCCCAGGAAAUGUGUAUAAACUGACCAUUAUGAGAUGACUGAAAAACAGGUUGAAUUUAGUGUAAAAAACAACAAAUCAUUAAUAGACUGUCAUUUAUUUUUUGAAAAGUUUCUAAUAUUUGUGUGUGUUUGUUUUUUUUUUGUUUUUUUGCUUUCAUUGCAUUUGAAGAAUCACACAACCAUUUUACAUCUAAACCUGAGCUAUCGUGCCAGAUUUGAUGCUGGUACUUUAAGACAAUAGGAGAAAAUGAGCCAAUUUCUUGGAAUGUGAACCCGGCUUUAGAUUAACUAGUUGAUAAGUCCUUAGUAAAACAAAAUAUUUUUUUUAGAGUUUCUGUCUUUCUGUUGAGUAGUAAUUAGAAGUUAUAUAUGCUGACAUCCGUAGCCACUGGACAUUAUCGAUGGGUAUUUGCUAUUAGCAAUUUGUAUGGUGAAAAUUAAUUACGAGCUAUAUAAAGAACACCCCUUGUAGUUUAAUGGGAAAGGGAAGUGAAUUGCUGCCUAUGCAGUGUCGUGAAUGCAAUGUUGUUAAACGAGGCAUACAGUCCGUACAUUUGUCUAGAGAAGGGUGUUUCUGUUGAGCACAGCUCAUUAAUAAAAAUUCAACCUAGACUCAAAGCGCAUAUAGUAAUUUAUUUAGCUCUUCUUUAGCAGGUCGCGCGUGAUACAUUUCUGUGUAAUAUGGCCCCCGUAUUGCCUUAACGUUCUUAUAUGCAAAUGAAUUACUUUAAAUAAACUGGAUGUAAACAGCG